rnacentral:tRNA from 1 species
UAAGCUUCAGUUAAAUUUAAUAUAGUUUUGUCGUAACUAAGAGUUUAGCUUAA